AGCAGCCGCGGUAAUUCCAGCUCCAAUAGCGUAUAUUAAAGUUGUUGCAGUUAAAAAGCUCGUAGUUGAAUUUCGGGAUCAAGGAAUCGGUCAUGCCUUGGUAUGUACUGGUUUUAUUGGUUCUCACCUUCUAAAGAACCAUAAUGUCAUUCAUUUGAUGUUAUGGGGAAUUAGGACUGUUACCUUGAAAAAAUUAGAGUGUUUAAAGCAGGCUUACGCUUGAAUACAUUAGCAUGGAAUAAUGAAAUAGGACAUCAGAUUCUAUUUUGUUGGUUUCUAGGAUCGAUGUAAUGAUUAAUAGGGAUAGUUGGGGGCAUUAGUAUUCAAUUGUCAGAGGUGAAAUUCUUGGAUUUAUUGAAGACUAACUACUGCGAAAGCAUUUGCCAAGGAUGUUUUCAUUAAUCAAGAACGAAAGUUAGGGGAUCGAAGACGAUCAGAUACCGUCGUAGUCUUAACCAUAAACUAUGCCGACUAGGGAUCGGACGAAGUUAAUUUUAUAAUGACGCGUUCGGCACCUUAA
rnacentral:rRNA from 1 species